rnacentral:lncRNA from 1 species
CACAGCAACAUGGGAUCUGAGCUGCAUCUGUGACCUACACCACAGCUUGCGGCAAUGCCAGAUCCUUAACACACUGAGUGAGGCCAAGGAUAGAACCUGUGUCCUCAUGGAUACUAGUCAUAUUAAUUUCUGCUGCACCACAGUGGGAACUCCCCCAAACUGAUUCUUUAUUUGUCUCUGUCCCCACAUGGCCAUCCUGAUUAAUAGAAGCAAGAAACCAAAGAUACUUACUAAUUUCCACUUCAUUCUCCAAGCCACCUUUUGAGCAGGCACUAGACUCUGCCCCAUCUCAUCCCUAAUCUGGGCAGUGGGCUCAGGCCCACCAAACUAUGUAGAAAAAGAAGGGGUGGUGGGGGGGAGAAUUUUCAAAGGGAAAUCAAGCUCUGACACCAAAAGAGAAGGAACCACAGAUGACCAGUGUAAUGACUUUAUCCAGCCCUCACUAAUUUGUCUUCUUCUGAAACAUUUGGGGUCAUUUGGACUCUAGAAUUAAUGCCAACGUCUUUGUGUUCUGUGUUCUUUUAUUUCUUUUAUUUAAGCCUUCCUUUCCUCUAACACUGGAAACUGUAGAAGGACCGUACUUCAUCUGGGAAAAAUGUGGUGCAUUCAGAAGGAACCAUACUUGUUUGAAACCAAAUGAAUAUGAGACCUGCACCUUCCUUUCCCAUUGUGGGUGUGCUACAAUUUGAAGGAAGACAAUCACUUAUCCAUCUAAUUUAUGGAAGAUCUUGAUUGUGAAGGGCUCUUUGUAGAUCCCAUCAGAGCUACCCAGGUAAAUGAGCAAUGACUGAUUCAAUUAACUGAUAAGAAUCUAUUACCACUGAUCCAAACUAUCUUAUUUGAACACAGAGCAUUAUGUACCAGUAACUAUCAGAGUGGCUGUCAUUUCCUUUUGAUGAAAUAGAAGAGCCUGUGUGUGUUGCAGCCCAGAAGGUGGCGCCAUACACAUUCAAGGGAUAAUUGAUUUUUAAGUGCCAGUGCACACUGCGGAUAGCAUUUCGUGAGAAAUUCCUCUAACUGGAUAGUUUGGAGAGCAGAAUCUACCCUUUUUGUGUCCAACAAGCCUUCCCCUUUGAGAAAGUCAAGGCAUUCACCCUCUACAUGUUUUCUUCCACUGUCAAGUUCGGUGGGAGAUUAGUGGGCAUGUGAGUUGGAGGACUUUGAAAUCCUGGCUUUGCCAUUCACAGACUGUAUGGCCCUGAGUGUGGUCCUUAACCUUGGUUUUUCUGAAUAUGAUUUAGGAUUAAUAAGAACUCUGUCAUGAGGCUCUAAGGAUUAAAUGAAAUAAUG